rnacentral:rRNA from 1 species
AUGGGCGAAAGCCUGAUGCAGCGACGCCGCGUGAGGGAUGGAGGCCUUCGGGUUGUAAACCUCUUUCGCUCAUGGUCAAGCCGCAACUGUGGUUGUGGUGAGGGUAGUGGGUAAAGAAGCGCCGGCUAACUACGUGCCAGCAGCCGCGGUAAUACGUAGGGCGCGAGCGUUGUCCGGAAUUAUUGGGCGUAAAGGGCUUGUAGGCGGUUGGUCGCGUCUGCCGUGAAAUCCUCUGGCUUAACUGGGGGCGUGCGGUGGGUACGGGCUGACUUGAGUGCGGUAGGGGAGACUGGAACUCCUGGUGUAGCGGUGGAAUGCGCAGAUAUCAGGAAGAACACCGGUGGCGAAGGCGGGUCUCUGGGCCGUUACUGACGCUGAGGAGCGAAAGCGUGGGGAGCGAACAGGAUUAGAUACCCUGGUAGUCCACGCUGUAAACGUUGGGCACUAGGUGUGGGGGCCACCCGUGGUUUCUGCGCCGUAGCUAACGCUUUAAGUGCCCCGCCUGGGGAGUACGGCCGCAAGGCUAAAACUCAAAGGAAUUGACGGGGGCCCGCACAAGCGGCGGAGCAUGCGGAUUAAUUCGAUGCAACGCGAAGAACCUCACCAAGGCUUGACAUGCACGGCGGCACUGCAGAGAUGUGGUGGCAUUUAGUUGGUCGUGUGCAGGUGGUGCAUGGUUGUCGUCAGCUCGUGUCGUGAGAUGUUGGGUUAAGUCCCGCAACGAGCGCAACCCUUGCCCUAUGUUGCCAGCACGUGAUGGUGGGGACUCGUGGGGGACUGCCGGGGUUAACUCGGAGGAAGGUGGGGAUGACGUCAAAUCAUCAUGCCCCUUAUGUCUUGGGCUUCACGCAUGCUACAAUGGCUGGUACAGAGGGUUGCGAUACUGUGAGGUGGAGCGAAUCCCUUAAAGCCAGUCUCAGUUCGGAUUGGGGUCUGCAACUCGACCCCAUGAAGGUGGAGUCGCUAGUAAUCGCAGAUCAGCAACGCUGCGGUGAAUACGUUCUCGGGCCUUGUACACACCGCCCGUCACGUCACGAAAGUUGGUAACACCCGAAGCCCAUGGCCUAACCGUUUUUGCGGGGGGAGUGGUCGAAGGUGGGAUUGGCGAUUGGGACGAAGUCGUAACAAGGUAGCCGUACCGGAAGGUGCGGCUGG